rnacentral:rRNA from 1 species
AUUGAACGCUGGCGGCAUGCCUUACACAUGCAAGUCGAACGGUAACAGGUCUUCGGAUGCUGACGAGUGGCGAACGGGUGAGUAAUACAUCGGAACGUGCCUAGUAGUGGGGGAUAACUACUCGAAAGAGUGGCUAAUACCGCAUGAGAUCUACGGAUGAAAGCAGGGGAUCGCAAGACCUUGUGCUACUAGAGCGGCCGAUGGCAGAUUAGGUAGUUGGUGAGAUAAAAGCUUACCAAGCCGACGAUCUGUAGCUGGUCUGAGAGGACGAUGAGCCACACUGGUGCUGAGACACGGCCCAGACGCCUACGGGAGGCAGCAGUGGGGAAUUUUGGACGAUGGGCGAAAGCCUGAUCCAGCAAUGCCGCGUGCAGGAUGAAGGCCUUCGGGUUGUAAACUGCUUUUGUACGGAACGAAAAGCCCCGGGUUAAUACCCUGGGGUCAUGACGGUACCGUAAGAAUAAGCACCGGCUAACUACGUGCCAGCCGCCGCCGUAA